GCAAUGGGCGAAAGCCUGACGGAGCAAUACCGCGUGAGGGAGGAAGGCUCUUGGGUCGUAAACCUCUUUUCUCAGGGAAGAACAAAAUGACGGUACCUGAGGAAUAAGCAUCGGCUAACUCCGUGCCAGCAGCCGCGGUAAUACGGAGGAUGCAAGCGUUAUCCGGAAUGAUUGGGCGUAAAGCGUCCGUAGGUGGUUAGGCAAGUCUGCUGUCAAAGCUCGGGGCUUAACUCCGAAUCGGCGGUGGAAACUGCCUGACUUGAGUGCGGUAGGGGUAGAGGGAAUUCCCGGUGUAGCGGUGAAAUGCGUAGAUAUCGGGAAGAACACCGGCGGCGAAGGCGCUCUACUGGGCCGUAACUGACACUGAGGGACGAAAGCUAGGGGAGCGAAAGGGAUUAGAU
rnacentral:rRNA from 1 species